rnacentral:rRNA from 1 species
CCUGGGGGGGGGUGCUUUACCAUGCAGUCGACGGUGAAGCCAAGCUUGCUUGGUGGAUCAGUGGCGAACGGGUGAGUAACACGUGAGCAACCUGCCCUGGACUCUGGGAUAAGCGCUGGAAACGGCGUCUAAUACUGGAUAUGAGCUCUUACCGCAUGGUGGGGGUUGGAAAGAUUUUUCGGUCUGGGAUGGGCUCGCGGCCUAUCAGCUUGUUGGUGAGGUAAUGGCUCACCAAGGCGUCGACGGGUAGCCGGCCUGAGAGGGUGACCGGCCACACUGGGACUGAGACACGGCCCAGACUCCUACGGGAGGCAGCAGUGGGGAAUAUUGCACAAUGGGCGGAAGCCUGAUGCAGCAACGCCGCGUGAGGGAUGACGGCCUUCGGGUUGUAAACCUCUUUUAGCAGGGAAGAAGCGUGAGUGACGGUACCUGCAGAAAAAGCGCCGGCUAACUACGUGCCAGCAGCCGCGGUAAUACGUAGGGCGCAAGCGUUAUCCGGAAUUAUUGGGCGUAAAGAGCUCGUAGGCGGUUUGUCGCGUCUGCUGUGAAAUCCCGAGGCUCAACCUCGGGCCUGCAGUGGGUACGGGCAGACUAGAGUGCGGUAGGGGAGAUUGGAAUUCCUGGUGUAGCGGUGGAAUGCGCAGAUAUCAGGAGGAACACCGAUGGCGAAGGCAGAUCUCUGGGCCGUAACUGACGCUGAGGAGCGAAAGGGUGGGGAGCAAACAGGCUUAGAUACCCUGGUAGUCCACCCCCGUAAACGUUGGGAACUAGUUGUGGGGACCAUUCCACGGUUUCCGUGACGCAGCUAACGCAUUAAGUUCCCCGCCUGGGGAGUACGGCCGCAAGGCUAAAACUCAAAGGAAUUGACGGGGACCCGCACAAGCGGCGGAGCAUGCGGAUUAAUUCGAUGCAACGCGAAGAACCUUACCAAGGCUUGACAUACACCAGAACACCGUAGAAAUACGGGACUCUUUGGACACUGGUGAACAGGUGGUGCAUGGUUGUCGUCAGCUCGUGUCGUGAGAUGUUGGGUUAAGUCCCGCAACGAGCGCAACCCUCGUUCUAUGUUGCCAGCACGUAAUGGUGGGAACUCAUGGGAUACUGCCGGGGUCAACUCGGAGGAAGGUGGGGAUGACGUCAAAUCAUCAUGCCCCUUAUGUCUUGGGCUUCACGCAUGCUACAAUGGCCGGUACAAAGGGCUGCAAUACCGUGAGGUGGAGCGAAUCCCAAAAAGCCGGUCCCAGUUCGGAUUGAGGUCUGCAACUCGACCUCAUGAAGUCGGAGUCGCUAGUAAUCGCAGAUCAGCAACGCUGCGGUGAAUACGUUCCCGGGUCUUGUACACACCGCCCGUCAAGUCAUGAAAGUCGGUAACACCUGAAGCCGGUGGCCCAACCCUGUGGAGGGAGCCGUCGAAGGGGGAUUAAU